rnacentral:rRNA from 1 species
GACGAACGCUGGCGGCGUGCUUAACACAUGCAAGUCGAACGGAAAGGCCCUGCUUUUGUGGGGUGCUCGAGUGGCGAACGGGUGCGUAACACGUGAGUAACCUGCCCUUGACUUUGGGAUAACUUCAGGAAACUGGGGCUAAUACCGGAUAGGAGCUCCUGCUGCAUGGUGGGGGUUGGAAAGUUUCGGCGGUUGGGGAUGGACCCGCGGCUUAUCAGCUUGUUGGUGGGGUAGUGGCUUACCAAGGCUUUGACGGGUAGCCGGCCUGAGAGGGUGACCGGCCACAUUGGGACUGAGAUACGGCCCAGACUCCUACGGGAGGCAGCAGUGGGGAAUAUUGCACAAUGGGCGGAAGCCUGAUGCAGCAACGCCGCGUGCGGGAUGACGGCCUUCGGGUUGUAAACCGCUUUCGCCUGUGACGAAGCGUGAGUGACGGUAAUGGGUAAAGAAGCACCAGCUAACUACGUG